AUUUUUAUUUGCUUCUAUAUUCAGUGCUAGCACAAAGAAGACAGCCACAAAUUAAGUUUUCACCAUUGUUGCAGAGCAGGUUUUUUUUCGGCAAGGUGCGAAGGGAUUGAGUGAAGGUGCAGGUGAAGGAUUCAGUGCUGUGUUUGAAGUCCUGGGAGGGAUUGACAAGCCUUGCAGUGAAACCUGAACAGAACAUUGAUGCUGCUGCGUGAUCAAGCUUGUGAUUCCUUUUUUUUUUCCCUCUCUUUUUUUUUUUUGGAAGAAUUACCCUGCGAUGGUAUAGGCUCUAAAGUUUAAAGGUUAUACCAUUGUACAUGCAAUUAUAGACAAAAGGAAAGCAGUGCAAAGAUUUCCGGAACCUGAGCCGUAACCUGGAAAUAAGAAACAACAAAAGAGGUGCUCUUAUCAUGUGAACUUAUAUGUACAGUCUGGAAUGCAGUAAAAGUGAUUCAGAGAUAGAAUAAAUUAUAGCAGUUUUAAAAAAAAAAAGGUCUUGUUUUCACAAAUUUCAACCCUUGUCAAAGAGACAGCUGUUGGUAACCCAGUUAUGGAAUGUGCCUCUGGGCUUUUUCCCCCCCUUAUACUCUGAGCAAGUGCAAUGGCUGUUUAACUUUUACGUGUGUGGUGUUCAAGAGGUGUCCCAGACACUGAUAUCAAACUAAAUACCAAGUGAUUUCCAUUUCACAUCACUGCCUCGGUGCCUCCUGAGUGAUCGAACAGGGACCCUGUGACAUAUCCAACUCUGUCAAAAGGAGAAGCCACUGUGGCAGUCGGUUAAAAGUCGUCCUGUUCGGAGCUGUUUGACAUGCAAGUUUCAUACAUCUUGUUUGAUACGCUUCAGUUUUAUCGCCAAGUAUGCUGGAUGGUAUCUGUGGGGAAUAGAUGUUUUUCCAAUGAUUAAACAAGACAUGAAACAAUA